rnacentral:lncRNA from 1 species
ACUGUGUUCCUUUUUUGGAAUAUCACCUUGCUCGGAACCCAAGUAAUCGGGACUUGGCAAUUCCUCUGCUAUCUACUCAUGUUCCUUACAGUUGUUUACCUAAAUCUAUCAUUUCUUCUAGUUGCAAGAUUAUUUACAUUUGCAGGGACGCAAAGGAUGCUUUUGUUUCUUUGUGGUGCUUUGUUUCCGCGCAUCAAAUGUCGAAAAAUGUUGAACCUCUUCCUCUGGAAGAGGCCUUUGAGAUGUUCUGCAAUGGAAUUUCAAUCUUGGGACCAUAUUGGGACCAUGUUUUAGGGUAUUGGAGAGCAAGCUUAGAGUUCCCUGAGAAGAUAUUGUUCUUGACAUACGAGGAAAUUAAGAAAGACACCGCUGCUCAUGUUAAGAAACUAGCUGAGUUCAUGGGUUGUUCUUUCACCUUAGAGGAAGAGGAGGAAGGGGAGGUGCAAGAGAUAAUAAGCAUGUGUAGUUUUGAGAAGUUGAGCAACUUGGAGGUGAAUAAAAAUGGGAAGCACCGUCUAGACACAUCAAUUGCUAUUCAAAAUAGUUUAUACUUCAGGAAAGGUGAGAUAGGCGACUGGGCAAAUCACUUGACACCUGAAAUGGGAGCGCGUCUAGAUGACAUAAUGGAGCGGAAGCUCAAGGGUUCAGGCUUGAAGCUGCCCAGGUGACCGUGCCUGGGGUCCCAUUUGCUUAUGAUUAUUGCCGAAGUGGGUUCAUCAAAAGAUGUUAUCAGCAUGUCGUGAAACAGCAACGUGUAUCCCAAUAAAUACCCUCUCUGUUCAUAGCAAGUAUUCACAUUUUGUGAAUCUUCCAUGUGAAUAAGCAAUAUUCUUUUGUGAAUCUGUGUUUGUGACUUUCAUUGAUUUCCUUGCAUGUUUGUAAGAAUUCAAAAUGGGAUUCGUUUUUUUUUUUUUUAACACAAGUGCAUGCAUUCCAUUCAUCAGUUUGAUAAAAAAUAAAUUUACUCUAAUAUAUAAUAUUAGAGUGUUUUCUUCACAGAAAUUGCAGUGUGUUUUUCUUCACAGCUAUACAUGUUUGAAAAGAACCGAGACAGCCAUACAUGAGGGCGGAGCAAAGACCAACCGAGACAACCAUCCAUUAAGAUUGUUGAAUUGCAGAUCAAAUGAACGUAGGAGAACUCGUGUUUUCCACUCCUAAAAUAAGCCCAGUUGCCGGCUUCAUUUGCAACAGAGACACAUAAAGAAUCUGAAAGCAGUUUUUAUGCACUAUCAGCAAAAUAAUUUGACCAGUCAGAAUGAUGUUUUCCCCCUUACUAGGCUCAGAUCACAAUCCUUCUUACUUCAAACAAGUCUUUUGGAACCGAUAUGUCGAGGGAUGGCUUGAUUUAUACCGGAGAUUUUGAUGGAAACUUAAAGAAGCGUGGCUUAAUUAUACCUUGGAUGCGCAAAUUGAUUACAGGGAAAAAAUGACAGAAAGUGAGUUGCAGGGAAUGAAAAAGGCAUUAGUAAACUCAACACCUUUCAGGGCAUCGUUCCUUGGUUUACUCCCUUCUAUUUCUUAUUUUGUUUUUCCUGCCAUUGUCUAAUGUUUUUCUAACUCGCAGUCUGGUCUCUGCAGAGAAUGAGAAAGCAAAAACUCUUUAAGAGAAGAUAUUCUCCGGCGAUGGCAUCAACUAAGUGCGUGUUUGGCGCUCCGGCUAUGUUUACAGAAAAAACAUCGUGGUCAUGUUUUUGGUUACAGUCUAAACAUAAUUAUCUGUUUGUGGACCCGUUAUCAUUUGCUUUUAAACCGCAAGAUAACCAAAAACAACUUCAAGCUGCCUUCUGUGUUGAGUUGCAAACUUUAUAAACAAAGGCCACAAGAAAAAGAGCAGAAACAUAGCAGUGAAUAAUGAACAGUGGAGAGCAGCUCCCUCUGACCACCGGCAUCCGCCGUUUUCACCGCCAACCACUGCUCAUCCUCUUCCCCUUCUCUUUCUCCUUCUUCUUUGUCUUCUGCAUUGUCCACUGUUCACGUUGCAUGUGAACAGUGGAGAGCAGCUCACCACCGGCCUCCGCUGUUUCUACCGCCAGUCACUGCUCUUCCUCUUCCCCUUCCCCUUCCCCUUCUUCUUCUACAUUCUCCACUGUUCACGUGAACAGUGGAGAGCGUCUCCACUAUUCAUGGCCGGAUUGGGUCUGGCCCAAACCUAAAUGCAUUGGACCGGGUCCAACCUAAAUGCAUUGGACCGGGUCCAAUCAAGUAAAAUAAAAAAAUCUAAAAAUAUUUCUUAGAUAUUGUGUUUUAUUUGAAAAACUAGUGUUUAAAAUUAUUCAAUGACACUACAUAAUUAUAUUAGAAGGAGAUCGCAUGAUGACGUAGCAUUUGCAGAAUUUGAUUGCAAUCCCAAUUUUAUUCCUAAUGAUAUUUUACCUGAUGUGAUGAUAUUUUACCUGAUGUUGGUGCACGUUCAAGAAGCCAUGAAAACUGUAGUUUUUGUCGGAUGGAUUUCGUACGUGAUUGAAUUGCAAAUAAUUUAAUGAAACAAUAAAAAAUACUUUAUAUAAAGUAUUAUUUAUUUCAUGAUGUAAUAGCAGUAGUUAAAUCUAUAAUAUUCCAAUUAAAAACCAUCAAUAUUAAUAUAUAUAUGUUUUUUUUAAUUAUUUUAUAACCUCAAUUUGAAAAACAUUCUUUAAACCAAACACAUUAAACUACUUUUUGUUCAACCUCAAUUUCAACCACAAUUUUAACCAAAUAUAUAUUUUUUCAAAUCAACCUCAACUAAAAAUACUUUGUAUAAAACAACUUUUUUAAACUACAAUCAUAACAGGUAUCACAAUACCAAAGACACACAAAGCUGUACUGAUAAGCAAGUUAAAGUGCCACCAUUGAUUUAGGAUCUGCUUUAUAUCUUAUAAGGUGAAAGUAAAACACAAGGAAAUGCAUGCAUGCACACCACUAAUCUUUGAUUCUGGCGAGAACAGUGAUGACUACACACACAACCAUAUAGAAUUACAUUCCAAGAUGAAGAAAUUAAUAACAGAGCAGUGCUAUAAAGCUAAAUGGGAGAACCAGAGAUUAAUAAGCAAUGCUGAAAAUUUUAUCAUGCAUAAGAUGAGAGAAGCAUAGGACAUAUUUUAUCAAAUCUAUAGUUUUUCUUUAAUAAUAAUAAUAUUUUUAAAAAAUUUAAUAAUAAUAAUAAUAAUAAUAAAAACUCAUGUUCUUUGAUUCUGACUUCCCUUACCAGACUGAAGUUACCACAGUCAGACCCAAGUAACUUAGGUGUGACGCUCCUGUUAGACUCAAGUUAUUUGGGUAUGAUAUCUCAUGCUGGACUCAUAGUAUUCAAGAUCAAAGGUGUUGAUAUCUAACAAUCAUACCUCACCCAAGCCCUAAGAUGUGAUUGCUUUUCUAGACCAGAGCGCAAGGCACCAAGACACUAAGAUACUAUUCACCAUAAGUCAAGUCAAUGAACCAAUUAAUUGAUUUUAAAGAUCAAGUUUUUUUUUUAAAUAGAGAAACAAAACUUUUAUUAACAUUGAAAUAACUCCUAAAAUUUUAAUAAAAUUAAUUUGAAGUAAAAAUAAUAUUAGAAAAAUAUUUAGAAGCACUUUUUUAUUGUAAAAUCAAACACACUAAAAUCAUGUAGAUUUUCAUUUAGACACUAAAAUUCAAGAAGAAAUUAAGUUCACACAGUACUAUUAAUUCAAUCGAUGAAGGAUUAGUCCCAACUACUUUAGGGCCACCAUUGACAUUGAUUACUUUGAAUAAUUUUAAUUUAUAGGCAUAAAAAAUUAAUACAUAUCUUUAAGAGGAUCAAUUUUAGAUUCUCUCUCUCUCUCUCUCUAUUUUUUUUUUGGUUUUCAAAUAUUUGACAUUUUCGUUUAGAUAAGCUCUAGUGUGUGUUUUUUUUAGAUUAUUUUAAAUCAUGUUUCUUGAAAUGUCAAAAACAUUUCAUGGAUUAAUUUAACUUAAUAACGCCAAAGAAUUAGGAAUUAAAACUGAUAAUUUCCACCAAGUAAGAGUACCUAAUUGAAAAUUUACUUUCUUAUCAUUUACCUCAAUUAAGCGGAAGCAUGAUCAUGAGAAGGGAUUUGGGAGGCACUUAGAUUAGGCUCUUCUCUAGUCUUGAGAAGCAGAACCAAUAGAGACGUGAUUGCGCACUCCCUGAGCUAUAUAGUAAGUGGCUGCAAACAAAUUGUCAGCACCAAUUCAGGUCCGGAAAAUUAAAGCAUUGAAGCAUAAAAGGUGACCUAACCUGAUUAAGCAAAUUACUACUUAUUCCAGCAUCACCUAGGAGUGAGACAGCCAGCCCUCCAGUGUCUACAUGGUAUGGGAAUAAUUCCUUCAAGAACGCAGAGAAAAUUAUACUUGCAAUACAACUAUAAACGAGAUGGUACAGUGCGGAAGGCUAUAAACGAGAUGGUACAGUGUGGAAGGCAAGAUGUUAAAUAUGAUCAGGACAAAAAAAUAAAUAAAGAAAGAAAGAGUGUUUAUUUCACAAUGAUCGAUAUGAUGCUUCUUUCCAUGUGGAAUCUUCGUCAAAGACUUGUUGAAAAUGCCAAAUUGUGAUCCACUUUUGGCUGUGUCAAAUGCAUGGGUGGGGUUUCACACAGAGCUAUUACCCCUUGUGUAAACUCAACGCCAGUUUUCAUGAGUUCUUUGGGAUUCUAACAUAGUAAAAAAAAAUGAUAAAAUAACGAAGUGUAAAGAAUAUGUAGUGAAAUAGAUAUUUGUAAUUAAUCAGUUGCAAUUAUUAUAUGCUCGCUCUCUCAGAUUUACUGGACAGAAGAUUUAUUAAAAAGAGAUGAGAAAAUAAUUAAAAGAGAAAGAAAAGAAAAAAAAAACUUCAAGGUAUAUCAAAACUCUGAUAAUAAUAUUAUUGGUAUUGUUGAAACAAAUCUAAAAAUAUCAAUAAAGAUCACCAAUAAUGAUCAUAGUAGGUCAUACGAGUGACCGAGAUAAAUGAGUCUCAAUACUUUUAAACAGCUCGUAUAAUCUAUUUUAUUUAUUAUUUAUUUUUUUUUAUGUUGUUAAAUUCAUCUUAUAAUGAUGCCGAUAAUGUUAUCAUUAUAAUUUCAAUGUAUUUCUAUUAUUAUUAUUUUUUGUUUUGCUCUCUCUCCUCUCUUUCCUUAUAAUUUAUGAAGAGUUAGAGAGGGGAAAAAAAAACCCUAGUCUUCCACUUUAAUCUGGCUGAAUACUAUAUUUUUCCUUAAUUAUUCACUACUUUGUCAAUGCAAACUAUAUUUUUCCUUAAAUAAGAUCUAAUCCACCAGCGGAUAGGUGAUCAAGAAUAUUAAAUUAGUGUAAAACUUGAUUUAAUUCAACAUUAUAAAUUCGAGGUGCUAUAAUAAUGUGAAAAAAAAGAAUAAAAAAACUAGAUUCAUCAUCAUCAUUAUUAUAUUAGUAUAAUAAUGUUUGUCACUUUGUUGUAUUAUUUUUUAAUUGUUUAGUUGUUUACUAUAUGUUAAAAUUUCAAGAUCUUCAAAGAUUGGUAAGAUCUUAAGGAUCUAGAGUUACUAUGGGACCGUCUUUAUUUUCCUAUUUGGAUUUUUUUUAUUUAUAUUAAGAAUUUAAAUUUAAUUAGUAUUUUAUUAUUUAAAAAUUCUAACGGUAAAUUGAUUCUAUUAGUCAGGCUAAUUUUAAGUAUAAAUUAUUUUUUUAUACAAAAUUUUAAAUUUAGAAUUAAUAUAAAUAAAAAUGUUUAGUUUAUUUUUUAAAGUGUUUUUGUUUAAAAAUACAUCAAAAUAAUAUAUUUUUAAAUUUUUUUUAUUAUUCAUCUUUUACAUCAAAACAUUUAAAAAACAUAAAAAAAAACAAUUAGAAAACGCAAGAUUGCAUCAAUGCUAAAUGCAAUCUCUCUCUCUCUCUCUCUCUCUCUCUCUCUCUCACACACACACACACACACACACACACACACACACACACGAUCCACCUCUGGUGUCAAAUGCAUAGUGAUGUUCCACAGCGAGCCACUAUCUAUUAUGUAAAAUCUCAACAAGUGAGAAAUGUCAUAGAUCAUUUGGUCUAAUUUACGGGGACAGAGUUGUGGAGUUGGGGGCUGUAAAUAUUCCUCAAAAGAUCGAGUCUUAAGGUCUCGGAACUAUUAUAUGACGGGGGAUAAAAAAACAAAUACUACGAGGGUCGAAAUAAAUAUUUUUUACUGGUUGAUGGUAUCCACAAAUGCUACGAGCAAUAAUAAAAUUUUUUGGAUUGAAUAAUCAGUUAAUUAAUUAGUUUUAAUAAUUUUUUUUAUUUUUCUUAACUAAAGUGGUUAAAAGCGCUUAUAUUUAUCAUUGAUAGGUCAAAGCUACUCGUUAAUACAUUUAAAAGAUUUUUUUUGAUGGAGGUAAAGACUUUCCGAUAUUUAAAUAAAUAAUUUUUUAGAAAGAAAAAAUAAAUGAAUAUUCUAUAGAGAGAUACUCUGAAAAUACAAAUGCACAAGAGAAUUGGAGAUUGUGAACCUUUGUUCUGAAGAUUUUAUGAUGUAUUUAUAACUUAUAAGUUUUGUCCUUUUGUGAAAAUAAGGGUUUGGAGUGUAAUUACCCUGAUAACAUUUAAUGAGGAAUAAAUAUCCCUUGCAUAAUGGGAAUAUGGUGGGUCCUCGAAUGGUUUUUAUACACCUAAAAAGCUAUAGGGAGAUUAGAGUUUAAGACGUCAAGUGUAGCUGAGCCUAUAGAGAUCAAGUUCUUUCCUGAGAUUAGAUCGAAGAGAGGUUGGUCAUUCUCCUAGAUAUGCCAAUGGAGAAUGAUCAAUAUUUUGGACUUGGUUGGCUGCAAAAUCCAAGUACCUUGAGCCUGAUAUGCGUGUCAAAUCCACCCUAUCUUGAAAUUGGAGCACUACCAAGUCCUAGCGCCUUGGAUCUGACAUGCAUGCCAGAUCCAUGCUACGUUGGACUUGGUGCACUAUCAAGUCCAAACACCUUGGGUCUAGUGUGCGUGUUAGACCCACAUUAUAUUGGGUUUGACGCAUUACUAUACAUGUCCAAGCACCUUGAACUUGAUUGAUUGUCAAGUCCAUGCAUUAUAGAUUUGAUAUAUGUGUCAGAUCCAUAUUACCUUAAGCUUGACGCACUAUUAAGUUAAAGUGUCUUGAAUUUAGAAUUUCUCAGGAUCCAUAAAUUUUAAAGAACCAAACAAAAACUAAAUAAAAAAUUGACUCAUCACUAAUCUAUAAAUACUAUCUACAUAAUGGCCUUAGUUGAUAACUUCUACCACCCACUGCACUUACUUCAAUAAUGAAAAAUAUUUUUUCCUUUUAAUGGAAAAGACAUUUUAACUCCAUCUUCAAUUACUUUACAUAAAUGUUUCCUUCUUUUUUAGAUAUUGGGUUUAGAAAACACAAUCAUGCUAAAAAUUUAUUAUCAACUAUAAAAUGUAUUUUUUUUAUAUUUUAUAUAUAUUUUUUAAUUAUUUUUUAUAUUUUCAUAUUGUUUUGAUGUGCUAAUAUUAAAAUUAAAUUUUUAAAAAUAAAAAAUAUUAUUUUAAUAUAUUUUUAAAUUAAAAAUAUUUUAAAAAAUAACCGCUAACACAAUAACAAACAAGAUUUAAAUAAAAAAAAUUAUAAUUACAUCAGCAAUCAAGAAUACUAAAAUAGUGUAAAUUUUGACUUAAUUCAAUUAUGAGAAUUGGGGGCAGCGUAACAAUUUGAAAUAAAAUGGCAGAAAAGGAGGGCAAACAGUACAAAUACCUUGAAUAAUGGUGACCAAAUAUUUGUAAUUUGAGACAUCUCGUUCUCGCAAGGAAAUAGUUAAGAGUGCCAAUAAUUAAUCUGCUCUCAACUUGCUUCAAAUAGCUGCCAUGUCCACAUAUUCAAGAAACAAAUAUUUCCACUAAAGGUUUAUAUGGUCGUUAAUUUCAGGAUCUGUGGGAUUAGUCGAGCUGCGCGCAAGCUAACCCGAACACCCACAUUAAACUAAAAAAAAAAAUAUUUUUUACUAGUCUAGAAAUGCUAUCUCCUAAAUUGUUUAUUGUUCUAUGAUUCAACCAUCCUGUUUUUUAUAAAAAUAUUGAUUUUUUCAUAAAUUUUUUUAGUAUUUUUAAAUUAUUUUAAUGUAUAAAUAUAAAAAUAAUUUUUAAAAACUUUAUUUUAAUAUAUAUAUUUUAAAAAUUUCUUUAAAAAAUAAUUAUCACCGCAUUUCCAAACUUCACAUCCCUGUAUUAAUGGAUUGUGUUGUCCCUGUAUUAAUGGAUUGUGUUGUGGGCUCCACGCCAUUUAAAGCUUGUGAGAGAAACUACACCUAUAAACUGAAACCACACGAUAACACUAAAGAUUUGCUAAUUCGGGAGUGUUUGUUUUUAUAUAUAAAAGUAUUUUUAAAAAAAGUUAAUUUUUUAAAAUUAAUUUUUUAAUAGUUUUAUAUUAUUUUAAUGUAUUAAUAUUAAAAAUAAUUUUUAAAAUAUAAAUUUUUUAUUUAAUAUAUUUUUUUUAAAAUAUAAAAAUACUCUUGAAAACAGCGGUUAUAAAAUACUCUUAAAAAAUAAAUAAAAAUACUCUUGAAAACAGCGGCUAUAACCUUCCCAAACUUCACAUCCCCAAAUUAUUAAGAGGCCGUUUGUUUGCGUGGUUGCUUCUGCGUUUGAAGCAACCACAGCAAACAUAAUGUUUGGUAAUAUUAAAAAUGCUAAAAAUGACCGGUGGGACCCAUGCCAAUUCACGUUUUGAACGCGACAUUGGUGAAGCAGCUCGUGACUGCUUUUUUAAAUUUUGUAUUUGCGUGCACAGUGCAAUUCACUUGCACUGUGCACGCCAACAGUGUAAUUCACUUGCAUUGUUCGGGUGAUUUUUUUUAUUUUUUUAUUUAGUGUGUAUAGUUUUUUUAUAUAUAUUUUUUAAAAAAACUAGUUUUACAUUGUCAUGUAAACAAUAUUUUUUUUCCCGAAAAACUAGUAUAGAGCGAAUUAAAUUCACUCGCACUGUAAUAUCAAAUUAAUUUUAUUCCUAAUAAUAUUUUAUCUAAUUUUAUUGCAUGCUCAAAAAAUUAUAGAAACUGUAGUUCUUGUCGAAUGAAUUUUGUACGUAAUGGAAUUGUAGAUGGUUUAAUGGCAUAAUAAAAAAUAUUUUAUAUAAAGUAUUAUUUAUUUCAUGAAGUAAUAGUAAUAGUUAAAUCUACAAUAUUUAAAUUAAAAAUCAUCAAUUUUAAUAUAUAUUUUUUAAAAUUAUUUUAUAACUUUAAUUUCAAAAGCAUUCUUAACCAAACAUAUUAAACUACUUUUUAUUUAACCUCAAUUUCAACCACAAUUUUAACCAAACACCUAUUUUUUCAAACCAACCUCAAUUAAAAGUACUUUUUAUAAAAUAACUUUUUUCAAACCACAACUACAACAGCUACAGCAAUACCAAACACACUCUAAAUUGCAGACGUUUGGCAGUGUGUUCAAAAACAUAUUUUUAAAAAAAAUUGAUUUUUUUUAUUUUAAAUUAAUAUAUUUUUAAUAUUUUUAAAUUAUUUUGAUGUAAAUCUUAAAAAUAAUUUUUAAAAACUAAAAAAAUAUUAUUAACAUAUUUUUUUAAAUAAAAAAUAUUUUAAAAAAUAACCUCAGCUAUUCACACACAGCCGGAAAGAAGAGAAACCACACAAUCACGCUAAAGAUUUGCUAUCGAAUAUAAUAUGACAUAAAACCCAAUUGCAUCAGCGGGCAUGUGAUCAAUAAUAUUAAAAUAAGGUAAUAGUUGAUGGGGCCACAAAUUAAACCAGCUCUCAACUCGCUACAAAUAGCUGCAAUGGCCUUUCAUUCUACGUUAUAUUUUCAUUUUUUACUUUCAUGGAAUCCUCUUUGCCUUCCACCCAAAUCUUGGAUUCUGGUGACAGUGCAGAGAGGAAAAAUGAAGCUAAAAAUUACAAUGAAGUGAUGUCCACCUUUCCGAAAGUUAAAGGCUUGAAUGGGUAUGAUUAUUACCUGUACCAAGGCUUUUGGUACGCUCCCUUCUUCUUGGAAGGACUCAUGUCUGUUCAAGAGGGCUUCAAUCCUCAAUCCACUGAUAUAUUUGUCGCCAGUUUUCCAAAAACUGGCACAACUUGGCUUAAGGCCCUCACUUUUGCUAUUGUCACACGAUCCCGUUUAAGUGGUUCAACAACUAGUUCUUUACUUACCAAGAUGCCACAUGACUGUGUUCCUUUUUUGGAAUAUGACCUUGCUCAAAACCCCAGUAAUCGGGACUUGGCAAUUCCUCUGGUAUCUACUCAUGUUCCUUACACUUGUUUACCUAAAUCUAUCAUUUCUUCUAGUUGCAAGAUUAUUUACAUUUGCAGGGACGCAAAGGAUGCUUUUGUUUCUUUGUGGUACUUUCUUGCCAGGCUGCAAAUGUCGAAAAAUGUUGAACCUCUUCCUCUGGAAGGGGCAUUUGAGUUGUUUUGCAAUGGAAUUGCAAAUUUUGGACCAUAUUGGGACCAUGUUUUAGGGUAUUGGAGAGCAAGCUUCGAGUUCCCUGAGAAGAUAUUGUUCUUGACAUAUGAGGAAAUGAAGCAAGACACAGCUGCUCAUGUUAAGAAAUUAGCUGAGUUCAUGGGUUGUUCUUUCACCUUAGAGGAAGAGGAGGGAGGGGAGGUGCAAAAGAUAAUAAGCAUGUGUAGUUUUGAGAAGUUGAGCAGCUUGGAGGUCAAUAAAAAUGGGAAGCACCGUCCGGACACAUCACUUGCUAUUCAAAACAGUGUAUACUUCAGGAGAGGUGAGAUAGGCGACUGGGCAAAUCACUUGACACCUGAAAUGGGAGCACGUCUAGAUGACAUAAUGGAGCAGAAACUCAAGGGUUCAGGCUUGAAGCUGCCCAGGUGACUGUGCCUAGGGUCCCAUUUGCUUAUGAUUAUUGCCCAAGCGGGUUCAUCAAAAGCUGUUAUCAACAUCUCGUGAAACAGAAACUGUGUAUCCCAAUAAAUACCCUCUUUGUUCAUCUCUUGUAUUUCCUAUCAAGUAUUCACAUUUUGUGAAUCAUCCAUGUCAAUAAGCAAUGUUCUUUUGUGAAUCUGUGUUUGUGACUUUCAUUGAUUUCCUUGCAUGCUUGUAAGAAUUCAAAAUGGGAUUCGUUUUUUUAUUUAUUUAUUUAACACAAGUGCAUGCAUUCCAUUAAUCAGUUGGAUAAAAAAUAAAUUUACUCUAAUAUAUAAUAUUAGAGUGUUUUCUUCACAGAAAUUGCAGUGUGUUUUCUUCACAGUUAUACAUGUUUUAAAAGAACCGAGACAACCCAUACAUGAGGGCGGAGCAAAGACCAACCGAGACAACCAUCCAUUAAGAUUGUUGAAUUGCAGAUCAAAUGAACGUAGGCGGCACAUCUGCUGGAAGGAUCUCGAAAUGCCUUGUAAUUGGUUAAAAUAAAGAUCAAGAUCUGUAGGAGAACUCGUGUUUUCCACUCCUAAAAUAAGCCCAGUUGCCGGCUUCAUGUGCAACAGAGGCACAUAGAGAAUCUGAAAGCAGUUUUUAUGCACUAUCAGCAGAAUAAUUUGAUCAGUCAGAAUGAAAACCCCCCCCCCCAGGCUCACAAAUCUUCUUACUUCAAACAAAUCUUUUGGAACCGAUAUAUAUGUCGAGUGAUGGCUUGAUUUAUACCGGAGAUUGUGUUGGAAAAUUAAAGAAGCAUGGCUUAAUUUGUACCUUGGAUGCGCAAAUUGAUUACAGGGAAAAAAUGACAGAAAGUGAGUUGCAGGGAAUGAAAAAGGCAUUAGUAAACUCAACACCUUUCAGGGUAUCGUUCCUUGGUUUGCUCCCUUUUAUUUCUUAUUUUGUUUUUCCUGCCAUUGUCUAAUGUUUUUCUAACUCGCAGUCUGGUCUCUGCAGAGAAUGAGAAAGCACAAACUCUUUAAGAGAAGAUAUUCUCCGGCAAUGGCAUCAAACAGAAAAGUCCGACGUCAACUAAGUGAGUGUAUAGCGUUGCUGCUGUGUUUACAGAAAAACACCAUUGUCAUGUGUUUGGUUACGGUCUAAACAUAAUUUUUUAUCGGUGAGACCCAUUACCAUUUGCAUUUAAACCGCAAGAUAACCAGAAGCAACUUUAAGCUGCGUUUUGUUUUGAGUUGCAAAUUGUGUUAUAAAUAGAGGCCACAAGAAAAAGAGCAGAAACAGAGCAGUGAAUAGUGAUUAGUGGAGAGCAACUCCCUCUCACCACUGACCUCCGCCAGCCACUGCUUUUUCUCUUCUCCUUCUCUUCUCGUUCUCCUUCGUCUUCUGCAUUCUCUACUGUUCACGUGAACAAUGGAGAGUGGAGAGCAGCUCACCAUCAACCCCUGCUGUUUCCACCGCCAGCCACUGCUCUUCCUCUUCCCCUUCUCCUUCGUCUUUUACGUUCUCCACUGUUAAUGUGAACAGUGGAGAGCAGCUCACCACCGGCCUUCACUAUUUCCACUGCCAGCCACUGCUCUUCCUCUUCCCCUUCCCCUUCUCCUUCCCCUUCUCCUUCUCAUUCAUCUUCUGCAUUCUCCACUGUUCAUGGCCGGACUGGGCCUAGCCCAAACCUAAAUGUAUUUGACUGGGUCCGACCCAGUAAAAUAAAAAAAAAUCCAAAUUUUUUUUCUUAAAUAUUGUGUUUUAUUUGAAAAACUAGUGUUUAAAAUUAUUCAAUGACACUACAUAAUUAUAUUAGAAGGAGAUCGCACGAUGACGUAGCAUGUGCAGAAUUUGAUUGCAAUCCUAAUUUUUUUCCUAAUGAUAUUUUACAUGAUGUAAUGAUAUCUUACCUGAUGUUGGUGCAAGUUCAGGAAGCCAUGGAAACUGUAGUUCUUGUCGGAUGGAUUUCGUAUAUGAUUGAAUUGCAAAUAGUUUAAUGGAACAAUAAAAAAUACUUUAUAUAAAGUAUUGUUUAUUUCAUGAUGUAAUAGCAGUAGUUAAAUCUAUAAUAUUUCAAUUAAAAACCAUCAAUAUUAAUAUAUGUCUUUUUUAGUUAUUUUAUAACCUCAAUUUGAAAAGUAUUCUUUAACCAAACACAUUAAACUACUUUUUGUUCAACCUCAAUUUCAACCACAGUUUUAACCAAACAUAUAUUUUUCCAAACUAAUCUAAACUAAAAGUAUUUUUUAUAAAAACAAUUUUUUUCAAACCACAACAGCUACCACAAUACCAAACACACACAAAAAAAACUGUACUGAUAAGUAAGUUACAAUGCCACCACUGAUUUAGGAUCUGCUUUAGAUCUUAUAAGGUGAAAGUUGAAAGCUAGCAAGAAUCGUCACAGAGAUGAACAGAGAAGUGAAUAGAAUUAGAGGGAGAUACUGCAAUGCAGAGGAAGAAGAAAAACAUUUCUGUGUAUAUUCACUUAUAUUUUUUUACCAGCGCUGUUACAUUCAUUUUAUAUGAACCAAGAUGAGAAGCUUGUUUACGUAAUCUAAUCAACAGUAACAGACUUUGUUAACUGUCUAACAAUAUUAACAAACUUUCUAACCAUUGUAUUCUCUAUUCUCUUGACAGGUGGCAGAAGCAGAGCCUUUGAUAUCUUGACAUUCCCCCUCAAUCACAAGCGUGAAGGAACCAAGCAUAAGAUUGGAACAGUGACGCCGAAAUAAAGGAGUGGAAAGACCUUUAGUUAGGAUAUUAGCAAAUUGAUCGGUAGAAGAGACAUGUUGAACCAACAAAUCACCUUUGACAACACGUUCUCAAACAAAAUGAUAAUCAAUUUGGAGAUGCUUCAUUCUGGAAUGGAAGACUGGAUUGGAAGCAAGGGAAAUAGUUGAGAUAUUGUCAUAAUGAAUUAACGGAGGGAUAUGUAAAGGAAUGUGAAUGUCACAGAGCAGUUGGCGAAUCCAGGCAAGUUUGGCAGCAGCAAUUGCUAGAGCCCGAUACUCAACCUCAGUAGAUGAUCGAGAAACAAUAUGUUGUUUCUUAGAAGCCCAAGAAAUAGGACUGGAGCCGAGGAAAACAAUAGAGCCAGAGACAGAACGUCGAUCAUUGGGAUCGCCAACCCAGUCAGCAUCACUAUAAGCUUGUCGAUUAAGAAGACUAGGCUGAAAAUGAAGGCCAAAAUCAAGGGUACCUUUAAGAUACCGCAAGAUUCUUUUGACAGCCACAACAUAAGAAUGCAUGGGAUUAUGCAUAAAUUGACAAGCUCGGUUCAUAGAGAAAGCAAUAUCGAGCCUGGUGAACGUGAGAUACUGCAAUGCGCCAACUAUGCUCCGAUAUUGUUGUGGAUGAGAGUAGGCUUAGCCAUCAUCUUUGAGCAAAUGAUGAUGAGGAAGACAAGAAGUAUCAAAUGAUUUGGAAUUUUGUAAAUCAACUCUAGCAAGUAAGUCUGUGAUAUAACUUAUCUAGGACACAAACAAACCAGAAGGGAGAUAAGAGAUUUGCAAUCCCAAAAAAUAAUUCAACUUACCGGUAUCCUUCAUAUCAAAUUUCUGAGUCAAGGCAGCAAUGACUGAAGAAAGAAGAGAAUAAUGACUGCUAGUAAGAAUGAUAUCAUCUAAAUAGAGUAGCAAUAUCACAACACUAAGAGAAGAAUGCUGAACAAACAAAGAGGGAUCGACAAGAGAUGCUUGAAACCCCAAACAUGGUAAAAAAACUGGUAAAACGUUCAUUCCAGGCACGAGGAGCCUGUUUAAGGCCAUACAAGGACUUUCUUAGUCUGCAAACAAAGUUAGCAGGAUAAAGCUUACUCAUAAAACCUUGGGGUUGAGUCAUAUAAACCUCCUCAUGAAGAAUACCAUGCAAAAAGGCAUUGGUAACGUCAAGCUACCGUAAGGACCAGUUAAACUGAGCUGCAAGAGUAAGAAUUAAACGAACCAUAGUAGGUUUUAUGACAGGACUGAAAGUUUCAUUAUAGUCAAUUCCUUCCUCUUGAAUGAAACCCUUAGCCACCAAUCGAGCUUUAUGCCUAGCUAUAGAACCAUCCGCAUGCUUCUUGAGUCGGUAGACCCAUUUACAGCCAACAAGAUUCUUAGCAGGUGGGAGAGGCACCAAAUCCUAAGUACCUUAUGCAUGAAGAGCAUCAAUUUCCUCCCACAUAGCAGACUGCCAUUCUGGAAAGGUUGAAGCAGCCUUGAAGGAACUGGGUUCAACCUGAGAAAAAGCAACAGACUAUACAGAGGUAAAGUAAGCCUUUCUUUUGGAAAUACCAUUCUUAAACCUGAUGGUCAUUGGAUGAAGAUUCAUCGGUGAAAGAGGUAAGACCACACACAGAUUCUCAGGUUGGAAGUCAGGAUCAAAUCUAGUGACAAAGAAGCGAUUGGUUUGAAUAAAAAAACAGAAAUACCCUUUAUACUGACCAGCAUACCCCAGAAAAAUACAAGUGGAAGUUUUGGGCUGAAGUUUGUUAGUAUUAUAAGGCUUGAGUAAAGGAAAACAAGCACAACCAAAAAUCCACAAAUGAGUAAUGACCAGUGGAGAACCAUAUAACAGGAAAUAAGGUGAUUUGAGUUGAAGAAUUUGACAGGGCAUUCUAUUAAUCAAAUAAAUAGAAGUAGCACAAGCACGAAACCAAAAUUUUGGAGGUAAAUGGGCAGUUUGUAACAGAGUGAUGGCUGUUUCUAAAAUAUACCUAUGUUUGCGCUCAGCAAGGCCAUUCUGUUUCGGAGUAUAGGGACAGGACAUUUGAUGGACAAUACCCUUGGUAAAGAGGUAAUGUUUGAAUUUAGUACUAAGAUACUCACCACCCCCAUCACUUUGAAAGACUCGAAGAGUAGCAGAAAAUUGAGCAACUAAAAAGGUAUGAAAGUAGGCAAAAAUGGAAUAAACCUCUCCUUUAUUGAUCAUCAGAAAAAACCAAGUAAAUCGAGUACAUUCAUCAAUGAAACUAACAUAAUAUCUGAAACCUUCAACAGAUACAGUGGGAGAAGAACCCCAAACAUCACUAUGUAUGACCUCUCAAGGUUUAACAAAUUUAACUGCGGGAUAGGGAAAAGGAAGUUUAGCAAGUUUACCCUCUAAAAAAGUGGUACAAACGAAUUUGGAUGUGUUUGAAGUGAAAGAAAUCUGGGAUUGAUUUAACAGAGUAGAGGUGACUAUGUUAGAGGGAUGACCAAAACGCUUGUGCCAGAGACUUGUGUUGACCUGUUUACCAAGAUAGCAAACUUGAUUAUUUUGAAAGAGAGAUUAUGAAGGAAACGAAAUGGAGAAAGGAAUAGGAUAUAACCCAGCUCUACACAGUCCCUUGAGAAGGACAUUUCCCAUGAAUUUGUCCUGAAUCCAAAAACCAAAAUCAUCACAAAUAAAUCGACAGUUGUUAUCUUUACACAACUUAUGAACCGAUAAUAAGUGUUGAGAUAGCUUAGGCACAUGCAAAACUUGCUUUAAUUGUAAUGAGCAUUGAUGAACAUCUAAAAUAAAAGAACCAAUAUUAGAAAUGGUCAAACUUGAACCUCCUGUAGUGGUAACAGUAUCAGAUCCUGAGAAAGGUGUAGCCAGAUUGAGUUGAGCCAAAUCAGAAGUCAUAUGUGUUGUGGUGCCAUUAUCAGCCAGCCAUAAUUGUUCAGGAGGGGAAGAAGAUGGAAAAUUGGCAUGCAUAGCACUAAGAUUACUGGAGGGAGGCCUGCCUUGAUAGCUGAAAUUACCUCUAUGAUAACAUUGAACGGCAGAGUGCCCAAAUUUUCAACAAAUUUGACAUUGAAUGGAAGUGGCAAAAGUACUUAGCAGAGUGUGGCGUUGAUAACAAUUAGCAGCUACAUGACCUUUUUUAGUACAAAUUUGACAUGUAGGAAUGUCAAUGCCAGAACCAAGAAUGCCAGGAUUAGAAGUAGGUGGAACCUAAUAAGGGCGUGGACUAGAUUGAUAAUGAUUACGUCCUCUGCCAUAACCCUUAAAAUUAAACCCCUGAUUGCCAAAGUAUCCUCCAGUAGAACCAUGAAAGCUACUGUGAUGACCAUUAAAUCCUCCAUUGAAACCAGAAGGAAAUUAAGAUGGUGGAGCAGACUUGGAGCUAGAAGGAUGAGAAUUAGAGUUACCUUUAUCAAGAGCAAGAGCCUUGCCAGGAGAUAUUUGAUGUUGAGCCAUCACUGCAGGAACAAACAGGGAAGCAGAAUAAGUUUGCUCAAGAAUGGCUUCUUCAGCUAGCAAUUGAGACCGAAAAUCUUUAAGGGAUAACACGUUGUCUCGGUCGCGAACAAUACACCUAAAGGUGUUAUAAUUAGAAGGAAGACCAUUGAGAGCCAAGAUUACAAUAUCAUCAUCUUCAAAAUAAACCCCUGCUACAGAAAGAUGGUCUCGAGCAUCUUUGAUCUUUUACAGAUAUUGAGACACAGAAUCUGAGCCCUUCUUGAUGGUUUGAAGCUCACUUUUCAUCUGAAAAAUAUGUGCCUUAGUAAUUGUGGAAAAUCUAUUCUUCAGUUGAAUCCACAUGUCAUGAGAGCUAACACAUUCAAUAACAUAGGAGAUUGCAGUUGAUGAGAGAGUAGCAAUAAUCAACUGCAUCAAUGUCCGGUCAUACAUUUUCCAAACCUGAUGAUCAUCAGUUUCAACACAUUCAAGGUCAGCAUCUGCAUCAAACCGAUUUGGACACUUUCUUGAUCCAUCAACAAAUCCUAAAAUACCAUAACUCUCAAGUAGAAUAUGCAUAUGAAAAUUCCAGAUGAGAUAAUUUGUGUCAUCCAGCUUGACUGUUACAGCUGUUGAAACUGUAGGAAGUAAACAGGUAAUAGGAGAUUGAACAAUUUAAAGUUGAGAAGUAGUCACCAUUUUAGAGUUCAAGAGAUAGCGAGGAAGAGAAUCACAUACGAUAGGCAUAGUCCCAGAUUUGAGAAGAGAGUUGAAGAAGAAUUUUUCAGUUUGACAAUAUAUCAAAUAGAUGAUAGGUAGAUCAAUUAUUAUGAAAGAAUUGGUUGAUUAAGGCGAUAAUAAUACCAGAAACAGAGAGUAGCAAGAUAUUAGAAGCAGAGAAAUCACAGGAUCACAAGAUAAUAACAAUCCUAAGCUCUGAUACCAUGAAAGCUAGCAAGAAUCAUCACAAAGAUGAACAGAGAAGUGAAUAGAAUUAGAGGGAGAUACUGCAAUGCAGAGGAAGAAGAAAAACAUUUCUGCAUAUAUUCACUUAUAUUUUUACCAACAUUGUUACAUACAUUCAUUUUAUAUGAACCAAGAUGAGAAGCUUGUUUACGUAAUCUAAUCAACAAUAACAGACUUUGUUAACUAUCUAACAAUAUUAACAAACUUUUUAACCAUUAUAUUCUUUAUUCUCUUGACAGGGCAGAAGCAGAGCCUUUGAUAUCUUGACAAAAGUAAAACACAAGGAAAUGCAUGCAUGCACACCACUAAUCUUUGAUUCUGGCGAGAACAGUGAUGACUACACUCUGAACCAAAUAGAAUUACAUUCCGAGAUGAAGAAAUUAAUAACACAGAGCAGUGCUAUAAAGCUACAUGUGAAACCAGAGAUUAAUAAGCAAUGCUGAAAAUUUUAUCAAGCAUAAGACGAGAGAAGCAUAGGACAUAUUUUUCCCACAAUUGAAUAUGUGAAUUGAGCACAGAUUUCCCUGUUGCAAACUGUUCCUAAUUUCUCAAAUGAUUAACUAGAAUACGAGUUGCACUUAAAAUUUUAAAGCAACAUAUAUGCUCUUGAUUUUUAGUGAAUUGCUGAAACAAACAUACAAGCUCGAUCACACCUCUAGAACAGAGUGACAGUUCAUGGUGACCUCAAAGACUGCAUCAAGUCCUCCAAGCUCUCGUAACUUUUCCCUAAAGCCCCCCCCAGUCUUCCUUAAUUACCAUGCCAGAUGUAUCUGAAUGAAUGCAACCCAUACAGUGAAAUGAAUAAGCAAUCAGAAAAGGAGAGAGAGAGAGUGAAAAAAUUUGUCACAAAACUAGAUAAUGGCGACCACAUAUCAAUAAUUCGAGAUAUGACGUGGGGCACUUUCAUCGUGAUUAUUGUUUGUCCAAUAAUGUUGGAUGUAUUAUUUCUUGUUAAGACUUUUUAGGUUGUGAAAAGUCCAAGAUGUAGUAUAAUAAAAUAAAUAUAACCUUUGAUUUUAUCAUUUAUAUUGAGCUGAAAUUUUGACAUACAAUUCUAAAGAUUUUGUGGUUAAAAUUUCAAGAUCUUAAAAAAAAGACCUUUAAAUAAGGAUUUAAAGUUACUAUGAGAUGGUCUUUAUUUACCUAUUUGGUAUUGUUUUUAUUUAUAUUAGGAAUUUUAAUUUAAUUAGUAUUUUAUUAUUAAAAAAUUCUAAUAAUAGAUUGAUUCUAUUAGUUAGGCAAGUUUUAAAUACAAUUUAUUUUUCUAUACAAAAUUUUAUAUCUAGAACAAAUAUAAAUAAAAAUAUUUAGUUUAUUUUUUGUUCGGGUAUUCAUAUUAUUAUUAAGAUUUUUUAAAAAUAUUUAGAGAUUUUUUUUUAUUUCGCUAUUGUGUUAGGACUAUAACCUUAAGGUUUGGAUGUUUGUGAAAGUGGAAGCGGUUACUUUUUAAAAUGUUUUUCACUUAGAAAUGCAUCAAAAUCAUAUAUAUAUUUUUUAUUUUUUAAAAUUAAUUUUUGACAUCAAAACAAUGCAAAAACACCAAAAAAUUAAUUUGAAAAAAAAUCAAAAAUUUUGAAAACCUCGAUCAAAAUGUUGUACCAAACACCCUCUUAGUUUUAUCUUAUUUUUAAAAAAUAAUUCUUGAUAUUAGCAAACAAAACAAUUUAAUAACACAAAAAAAUUAAUUUUAAAAAAUCAAAAUCUUAAAAAACUCUCGUCUAAAUGUUUGCUUUUAGUUUUAUCAUCGUUGCACUGCGUAAAGAUGCUAAAAAGAAAAUAGUUGAUAUAGCCACCUAAGUGCUGGUGGUGUUUCAGAGUGUAGUAGCGAUUGUUUUUUAAAGUGUUUUUUACUCGGAAAUGCAUUAAAAUAAUAUUUUUUUAUUUUUAAAAAAUUAUUUUUAACAUCAGCAUAUCAAAAUGAUCUGAAAAUACUGAAAAAAAUAUUAAUCUAAAUUAAAUAAAAAAAUAAAAAAAAAUCAAUCUCUUUUAAAAAUAUUUUUAAAAUGCAGAAACAAACAGGAUCUCUCAACCUGCUACAAAUAACUGCUGCAAUGGCCUUUCUUUAAUAUUUUACUUACACCAUUCUGCACAAUAUUUUCUUUUGUACAUCCAUGGAACCCUCUUUGCCUUCUACACAAAUUCAAAGCCCAUGCUAAAAACUACAAGGAAAUGAUCUCUACCUUUCUACAAGUUAAAGGCUUUUGGUACUUUCCGUCCUUCUUGGGAAGACCCAUCUCAGUUCAAGAACACUUCGAGCCUCAAUCCACUGAUAUAUUUGUCGUCAGCUUCCAAAAACGAAGGAAAUCUUUGGUUAAUGUUCUCUAAUAAGUACUAACACCUUUUCUCCUUCAACAGUGAAAUUUACGUGCCUUUCACACCUUUUUACGUUCGAACAUUUCAUUUGUUCUUGUGCUCUAAAUUCUAAAUUGAGUCUGUUUUUGUGAGUUCCAUUCUUCUAUUUAAAAGAUUAGAAAACGCAAGAUUGCAUCAAUGCUAAAUGCAAUUUCAAUAUCUGUGUGUGUGUCAAAUGCAUGGUGAUGUUACAUGAUGUGUUUGUUUUUACGUUUCAAAAAUAUUUUUUUAAAAUUAAAUUUUAUUUAUUUAUUUUUUAUUUUAAAUUAAUAUUUUUUAGUUUUUUCGGAUUAUUUUAAUUUACUGAUAUCAAAAUUAACUUUUUUAAAAUAAAAAAAAUAUUAUUUUAAUACAUUUCUGAGUAAAAAAUACUUUGAAAAGUAACUGCUACUACACUUCCAAAUAUACCCUUAAAAAAACAAAGUUAUGGAGUUGGAGGCUCUAAAUAUUCCUCAAAAUAUCAAGUCUUAAGGGCUCGGAGCUAUUAUCCAGUCUUAAAAUUUUUGCAUUUUAAAAAUAUUUUUAAAAAAAUGAAUAUUUUUUACUUUUUUUUAUUUUAAACUAUAUUUUUUUCUUUCUGUUUUUAUAUUGUUUUUAUGUAAAAAAUAAAUUUUAAAAAAUAUAAAAAUAUUUUUUUAAAAACAAUCACCAUACAAUAACAAAUAAAAUAUUAAUAUGAAAUAAAAUCUAAUUCUACCAGCAGACAGCUGAUAAGAAUACUAAAAAAGUGUAAAUUUUGACUUAAUUCAAUUAUUAGAAUUUGGGGCAGCGUAACAGUGUCAAAGAAAAUGUCAGAAAAGUAGGGCAAACAGUGCAAAUACCUUGGAUGAUGGUGACCAAAUAUUUGUAAUUUGAGACAUCUCGUUCUUGAAAAGAAAUAGUUAAUAGUGCCAAUAAUUUUUUUUUAUUAAUUUGAGGUGUUCAGACCAGUUUGCAUGCACCUCGACUAAUACUUACGGUUCUUGAAGUUAACGAAUAAAUAAGCCUCCAGUGGCCAUCAAUAUUAACAACUACAAGGCUCGAACUUGAGACCACAGGGGGGCAAACCCCUUGAUCCAAAACUCUUACCACUUGACCACCUACUAGAUGGUUAGUACCAAUAAUUAAUUUGCUCUCAACUUGCUACAAAUAGCUGCCAUGAUCACAUAUUCAAGAAACACUAGUUUAAGAGCUUGGGAUCAAGAGGUUUGCUCCCUCUGUAGUCUCAGGUUCAAGCCCUGUGGUUGCUCAUAUGAUGGCCACUGGAGGCUUACAUGGUCGUUAACUUCAGGGCCCGUGGGAUUAGUAGAGGUGCGUGUAAGCUGGCCCGGACACCCACGUUAAACUAAAAAAAAAAAAACACUAGUUUAUAAACCCUGAGGGGUAGCUCAACUGGUUAGAUUUUGAGUAUGUUUCCUAAUAAUCACGAGUUUGAGUUCUUUUAGGCCAACUGGAGGCUUACAUAGUUUUAAACUUCAGGACUCGUGAAAUUAGUAAAGGUACAUACAAAUUCAGUGGUGGAGCCAGAAAUUUUUAAAUGAGGAGGCAAAUUACUAACAAAUAUUUGAUAUUAUAUGCUAUACAUAUAUAUGUUAUAUAUAGAAAUGAAUUUGAAAUACAUGUGCCUCAAGUCAAGCAAAAUUAAUUUAAGAAUACUUUUAAAAUGAAAAAAACUUAUGUUAUAAUUGUUUUCUUCGAGAUUUUAUAUUUUAAAACUGCUUCAUAAUAAUUUUAUUUUUAAUUUCAUUAAAAAUAUAUUUCUCAAUAUAUACAACAAACUUUCAUUUAUCUAUUUCUAAAUCUUCCAAGUACUAGGAAAGUUGUUGACAACAAUUUUAUGCUGACAUAUGGUACAUAACAUCUAAAAUCAUAUCUUAAAAGAAUUGUCAUAAAUUGAAGUUGUUCUUACUGACUUGUUGUUUUGUACAAGUAGAUUAAAUAUAAAUAUUAAAUGUUUUUUUAAAUUUAUCUAUUAUGUCUCUAAUUUUUUUAGUUGUCUUAUACUUCAUUUUUAAUCAUUAGUAAAUUCAUUAUCAUCGUUUUUCAUAUGAAAUUCAUAACAAAACUUAUCAAUUCAUCAAAACUCAUUUCAAUUCAUAUCCAUUAGCAUAUAAUAUUACCCAUACACAUAUUAAUUCAACAAACCCAUAAAUUAUUAUAAACCCUAACAUUUUUAAUAACUAAUUUUUGGAGAUGUAGACCCAGUAUUUUUGGAGCUUCCAUAUCUAGUUGACCUAUCAGGAAGAGAUGAAGUUAACGUUUGGGAAUGCGGUGCAAACCAUGUUCCCCUAAAAUUAAAUUUUUUUUUGUUAAAAAUUAAUUUUUUGGUAUAUUUUGGAUCGUUUUGAUGCGCUGAUCUCAAAAAUAAUUUUUAAAAAAUAAAAAAACAUCAUUUUGAUGCAUUUCGGCACAAAAAAUACUUUGAAAAGCAACUGUAACCACACUCCUAUACAAGUAAAGUCUCUAACAGCACAAGUAUAAAAAAUAUAACUGCUGGGCAAACCAACUCUUUUCUCAAACCCAUCAGUUGCCUCAUGAUAUAUAUAUAUAUAUACACAUAUAUAUAUAUAUAUAUAUAUAUAUAUAUACACACACACACCAUGCAUAGAAUUCAUGGAUAAAAGAAAGGAAUUGGAUCUGAUUUGAGGUGGGGGGAUUGCCCCCUCUUGCCUUUAUGUGGCUCCGCCACUAUAUAAAUUAGUUUGGAUAUUUACAUUAAUUAAAAAAAAAAUACUGGUCUAGAAAAGCGAUCUACAAGGUGAUUAUUUAGUUGACUAAUUGAAUCUGUUUUUUAUAAAAAAAAUAUUUUAGAAGAUAAUUUUUAAUAAUUUUAGAUUUUUUUAUAUAUAAAUAUCAAAAAUAAAAUUAAAAAAAUAACAAAAUAUUAUUUUAAUAUAAUUUUAAAUAAAAAACACAUUUAAAAAAACUUAAUAGUAUACUCUCAACCAAGGUUGUCAAUUCCGUUUCGGUAGGUGUUUCGUUUUUUUAAUUGGAAUGGAAUGUUUCAGUUUCGGAGUGUUUCGGCGUGCCGUUCCGGGGUUGUACUGUUCAUAUAUAUAUAUUCAACAAACAUAAUUCAAAUUCAAGAUAAAUUAAUUAUAAAUUAUGCAAUACAAACACAAUGCCAAACAAAUAUAAUUUCAAAAUUUAAAAUAUUUCUAAAUAGUCAAGAUUAAAUAGAUCUUUACCUUAAAGUAAUUCAACUUAAACAAAAUAUCAAAAUAUUAUGAAAGUAAAAUGUUUUAACAUAAAUAUUUUAAAUAUAAAGUUAGGUCAAUGUUAUCAAGGCUAAUUGAAUCUAAAGCAUCCCUUGGUUUGCUCAAAUUUCUACAAAGUAUAAACAUGAAAAAAAAACAUGAAUAUAAACCUUAUAUAUUAGUGAUAAAUCUAAUUUUAAAAAAUUAAUAUCAUUGUUAAUGAAAAUAGUAAUAAUAAUUUUCAAUAUUAUUAUUAAUAUCAUUGUUAUUGAAAAUAGUAAUGAAAAAGAGCCUUUUAUAAUUGGGUGAUUUAAUUAAUUAAAUUGAACAAAAUUCAAUUUGAUUCAAUGGAUUUUCAAGAACGGAACGAAACAAGUGGAAUGAAACCGGAACGUUCCGGGUGGAAUUUAGCCGAAAAAUACAGAACAGACCGAGAUUUAAAAUAAAAUGAAAUUUAUUUUAUUUUUUAAAUUGGUAUGAAAUAUUUCGUUUAUUUCAUACGAAACAAAACAGAAUUGACAACUUGCUCUCAAGCACCCAAAAUAGAGGAUUCAAUUGUAUUGUGGGUUCCACACCAUUUAAAGCUUGCAAAGAAGGAUUUGAAACACAAUCACACUAAAGAUUUGCAAUGGAAUAUAAUAUAAAAUAAUACCCAAUGGCAUCAGCGGACAUGUAAUCAAUAAUAUUAAAAUACAGUAAAUUUUGAUUUAAUUCAAUUAUUGGAUUCUAGGCAGCGUGACAAUGUCAGAAAAUCUUGGAUGAUGGUGACCAAAUAUAUCAGUAAUUUGAGACAACACGUUCCCGAAAGGUAAUAGCUGAUGGUGCCAAAAAUUAAACCAGCUCUCAACUCGCUACAAAUAGCUGCCAUGGCCUUUCAUUCUACCUUAUAUUUCUUUUUUAACUUUCAUGGAAUCCUCUUUGCCUUCCUCCCAAAUCUUGGAUUCUGAUGGAAAUGCUGAGAGGAAAAAUGAAGCUAAAAAUUACAAUGAAGUGAUGUCCACCCUUCCAAAAGUUAAAGGCUUGAGGGGGGAUGAUUAUUACCUGUACCAAGGCUUUUGGUACGCUCCCUUCUUCUUGGAAAGACUCAUGUCUGUUCAAGAGCACUUCCAUCCUCAAUCCACUGAUAUAUUUGUCGCCAGUUUUCCAAAAACUGGCACAACUUGGCUUAAGGCCCUCACUUUUGCUAUUUUCACACGAUCCCGUUUAAGUGGUUCAACAACUAGUUCUUUACUUUCCAAGAUGCCACAUGACUGUGUUCCUUUUUUGAAUUAUAACCUUGCUCAAAACCCCAGUAAUCGGGACUUGACAAUUCCUCUGCUAUCUACUCAUGUUCCUUACAGUUGUUUACCUAAAUCUAUCAUUUCUUCUUGUUGCAAGAUUAUUUACAUUUGCAGGGACGCAAAGGAUGCUUUUGUUUCUUUGUGGUACUUUCAUGCCACGUUGCAAAG